rnacentral:rRNA from 1 species
CCUACGGGAGGCAGCAGUGAGGAAUAUUGGUCAAUGGACGAGAGUCUGAACCAGCCAAGUAGCGUGAAGGAUGACUGCCCUAUGGGUUGUAAACUUCUUUUAUAAGGGAAUAAAACGUUCCACGUGUGGGAUUUUGUAUGUACCAUAUGAAUAAGGAUCGGCUAACUCCGUGCCAGCAGCCGCGGUAAUACGGAGGAUCCGAGCGUUAUCCGGAUUUAUUGGGUUUAAAGGGAGCGUAGGUGGAUUGUUAAGUCAGUUGUGAAAGUUUGCGGCUCAACCGUAAAAUUGCAGUUGAAACUGGCAGUCUUGAGUACAGUAGAGGUAGGCGGAAUUCGUGGUGUAGCGGUGAAAUGCUUAGAUAUCACGAAGAACUCCGAUUGCGAAGGCAGUUCACUGGACUGCAACUGACACUGAGGCUCGAAAGUGUGGGUAUCAAACAGGAUUAGAUACCCUUGUAGUC